rnacentral:rRNA from 1 species
GACGAACGCUGGCGGCGUGCUUAACACAUGCAAGUCGAACGGUGAACCGCCUUCGGGUGGGGAUCAGUGGCGAACGGGUGAGUAACACGUGGGCAACCUGCCCCCGGCUCCGGGAUAACUCCAAGAAAUUGGGGCUAAUACCGGAUGUGACCGCUGGCCGCAUGGUCUGGUGGUGGAAAGGGUCUCCGGCUGGGGAUGGGCCCGCGGCCUAUCAGCUUGUUGGUGGGGUAGUGGCCUACCAAGGCGACGACGGGUAGCCGGCCUGAGAGGGUGACCGGCCACACUGGGACUGAGACACGGCCCAGACUCCUACGGGAGGCAGCAGUGGGGAAUAUUGCGCAAUGGGCGGAAGCCUGACGCAGCGACGCCGCGUGGGGGAUGACGGCCUUCGGGUUGUAAACCUCUUUCAGCUUCGACGAAGCCGUGAGGUGACGGUAGGAGCAGAAGAAGCACCGGCCAACUACGUGCCAGCAGCCGCGGUAAUACGUAGGGUGCAAGCGUUGUCCGGAAUUAUUGGGCGUAAAGAGCUCGUAGGCGGUUGGUCGCGUCGGCUGCGAAAACCCGGAGCUCAACUCCGGGCCUGCAGUCGAUACGGGCCGACUGGAGUGGUGCAGGGGAGACUGGAAUUCCUGGUGUAGCGGUGAAAUGCGCAGAUAUCAGGAGGAACACCGGUGGCGAAGGCGGGUCUCUGGGCACCAACUGCGGUGGCGAAGGCGGGUCUCUGGGCACCAACUGACGCUGAGGAGCGAAGCGUGGGGAGCGAACAGGAUUAGAUACCCUGGUAGUCCACGCCGUAACGUUGGGCGCUAGGUGUGGGGGCCAUUCCACGGUCUCCGUGCCGCAGCUAACGCAUUAAGCCGCCCCCGCUGGGGAGUACGCCGCAAGACUUAACUCAAGGAUGGACGGAGGCCGCACAAGCGGGCGGAGAACCA